ACUUGAAUGGCUUAUAUUUAGAGCGUGACACUGAAGAUGUUAAGGAAAUAAUUUUAUUUUCAAGUA
rnacentral:tRNA from 2 species